rnacentral:rRNA from 1 species
UAAGGAAUAUUGGUCAAUGGACGCAAGUCUGAACCAGCCAUGCCGCGUGAAGGAUGAAGGUCCUCUGGAUUGUAAACUUCUUUUAUCUGGGACGAAAACGGGAUUUUUAUCUCAAUUGACGGUACCAGAGGAAUAAGCACCGGCUAACUCCGUGCCAGCAGCCGCGGUAAUACGGAGGGUGCGAGCGUUAUCCGGAUUUACUGGGUUUAAAGGGUGCGUAGGUGGGCUUAUAAGUCAGUGGUGAAAUCUCCGAGCUUAACUUGGAAACUGCCGUUGAGAAUAUAGGUCUUGAAUUAUCUGGAGGUAAGCGGAAUAUGUCAUGUAGCGGUGAAAUGCUUAGAUAUGACAUAGAACACCAAUUGCGAAGGCAGCUUACUACAUAUAAAUUGACGCUGAGGCACGAAAGCGUGGGGAUCAAACA